GGCUUANCCAUAGUACGCUUUGGAAACUGUUUAACUNGAGUGCAAGAGGGGAGAGUGGAAUUCCAUGUGUAGCGGUGAAAUGCGUAGAUAUAUGGAGGAACACCGGUGGCGAAAGCGGCUCUCUGGCUUGUAACUGACGCUGAGGCUCGAAAGCGUGGGGAGCAAACAGGAUUAGAUACCCUGGUAGUNCACGCCGUAAACGAUGAGUGCUAGGUGUUAGACCCUUUCCGGGGUUUAGUGCCGCAGCUAACGCAUUAAGCACUCCGCCUGGGGAGUACGACCGCAAGGUUGAAACUCAAAGGAAUUGACGGGGGCCCGCACAAGCGGUGGGGCAUGUGGUUUAAUUCGAAGCAACGCGAAGAACCUUACCAGGUCUUGACAUCCCUCUGACCGCUCUAGAGAUAGAGUUUUCCUUCGGGACAGAGGUGACAGGUGGUGCAUGGUUGUCGUCAGCUCGUGUCGUGAGAUGUUGGGUUAAGNCCCGCAACGAGCGCAACCCCUAUUGUUAGUUGCCAUCAUUCAGUUGGGCACUCUAGCGAGACUGCCGGUAAUAAACCGGAGGAAGGUGGGGAUGACGUCAAAUCAUCAUGCCCCUUAUGACCUGGGCUACACACGUGCUACAAUGGCUGGUACAACGAGUCGCAAGCCGGUGACGGCAAGCUAAUCUCUUAAAGCCAGUCUCAGUUCGGAUUGUAGGCUGCAACUCGCCUACAUGAAGUCGGAAUCGCUAGUAAUCGCGGAUCAGCACGCCGCGGUGAAUACGUUCCCGGGCCUCGU
rnacentral:rRNA from 1 species